GAUGAACGCUGGCGGCGUGCCUAAUACAUGCAAGUCGAGCGAACGGACGAGAAGCUUGCUUCUCUGAUGUUAGCGGCGGACGGGUGAGUAACACGUGGAUAACCUACCUAUAAGACUGGGAUAACUUCGGGAAACCGUAGCUAAUACCGGAGAAUAUUUUGAACCGCAUGGUUCAAAAGUGAAAGACGCUCUUGCUGUCACUUAUAGAUGGAUCCGCGCUGCAUUAGCUAGUUGGUAAGGUAACGGCUUACCAAGGCAACGAUGCAUAGCUGACCUGAGAGGGUGAUCGGCCACACUGGAACUGAGACACGGUCCAGACUCCUACGGGAGGCAGCAGUAGGGAAUAUUCCGCAAUGGGCGCAAGCCUGACGGAGCAACGCCGCGUGAGUGAUGAAGGUCUUCGGAUCGUAAAACUCUGUUAUUAGGGAAGAACAUAUGUGUAAGUAACUGUGCACAUCUUGACGGUACCUAAUCAGAAAGCCACGGCUAACUACGUG
rnacentral:rRNA from 1 species